GUUGUGUCAGUCAACUGUAGAGACGUCCAAGAAGGGUCUCAUCUUCACCGUGUUUCUACUUUCGAGUGAAAACAGAGGGAAGGAAAGGAAAAGAAAGAAAAGAGAGGGAGGGAAACUGAGAGUUAGGCUGGGAGAAAUAGACAACAAUUACACUUGCCCUAGGAGGCCGAGGGAACCUGACCACGUUGCUAUGGAAACUCAAGUACAGCAGAAAGUAACACGAAAAUCAAUUCAGAUUGAGCUUAUCUCUGCCUCUCUCUCCCUCUCUCUCCCUCUCUCUCUGCCUUCUCAUUUCACGGGAGCCACAAAGCAUACUUCCACUCUGAACACAUUUUAACUAUUGCUGAGUCGAGGCGGCAUUAAUCAGAACAAACGCUAUUAUUUUUCUUUUCAUUCUCCUUUAAAUGACAAAUGUGGAUUAUAGCAUCCAGAAGGAAAAAAAAAAACAUCUUCAAAAGCACAUCUCUGAAAUGGUACAAAAGGAAGAUGCGAACGGGGAAGUGCCGCAACAUAAACACAAAUCAUCGCCUGUCUCGGGCAACACCAUUCAUUCUUGCUCUUUCUUUCUUUUCUCGCCAUCCUCUUCAGUCGCUCCCUCAGAGGGGCAACAGCAGCUGCGCGCAGGUGAUAAGCAAGUGCAGCGAUGGGUGCUGCGCUCUGAUUGGCUGGCUCAACUCCUACGCUGAUGUGAAGAUUGUAGGCUGCGUCUGUCAAAAGGCCACUCCGCUCGCGGUUGUCACCUCUUGACGUCACCUCCGACAAACGACAGUUUGACCCGCCACGUUUACAGAACAGAGCCGGAGAUUUCGACUCCUCCUCUUAAGAUGGAAGAACCCUCGAUGGAAGCGACGCGCGGCAUGUCUCUAAAUUAGAAAUUAAUGCUAAUGAUCGUGGAGCAGUAGUGGGGUUACGGCAGGAGCCAACGGCUCGCCGACCAUCCAUUUUCAUCACUUAGCAGAACUCGGCAAGCAGUUUGGCUGUUUGGAUGGUGACUGUGCGAAAGCAAGGUUUAUGCCAAAGAAGAGGCAAGAGGGGAGGAAACGAGCCCCGAGGAAAAAAAAAAUACUGAUGCUUGAUGCCUCAUACAUCAAGAAAAAGAUGGAGGGUCACCUUGCUGUGAAGUCGGCUGGUCAUUUGCUCAUGAGGGAUUAAAUCUGAACUCAGUAGAACGAGAUUUACCACCCCGGGAGCAGAAUAAGAGCACAUAUUAAUCCCUGAUUGGAUGGAAGACGACAGAGAAGAAAAGAAAUGGAGUGAAAAAUCCCUAUUAGGUCAGCAGAGUGAUUUGCGUUAUUAAGUGCCUUUUUUUGAGCUAAUCAGUCACUUUUAAGAUGGGAUCAGACACUGCUGCAUUAUGGGAUGUCACUGAGCGUACCAGCAUGUCUCCAUUUACCGCCGCGCUUCAGCUGGGAACAUAUGGACACAUUUCUUCAUGAACGCCACCACCUGUCAUCGGCACACGCACACACGAGCAGAGGGCGUUCGCACCGACGAAGCCGUCGUCAUGCAACAGCCGAGAUCCAGGAGGGUUUAUAAACAGAAAUUAAUUGCUUGUUCCGGCUGUAAUUAGCUCACACCAUGCUUAUUACUAAUCUGUGCUUUGGCCUCAUGCCAGGCCCGUCCUGGCCUGACUCCAGUCCGUUUUUAACGGCGCUGCUCAACAGUAAUCCAUAUGCUCUGUCGGGACAUGCCCUUUAUUCUCAGCCCUAUAUAAACCCAUACUUCUAAGAUUUCUGUGAUCAAGAGAAAUAAUGAAUCUCUGACUGAAUCCAUUUGCUCUAACUGUACAAUAACAGACCUUAACUCACUAAGUUUUUAAAACAUCUUGGCUAUAUAAAAAAAAAAACUGCUGCAGAAACUCAGCUAUUAGAAAAUCAUGGCCGUGAUAGCAGACUUUUAUAAUUAAGAUCGUAUACUGUCUG